rnacentral:rRNA from 1 species
GAGGAGCUCGCGGCCGAUUAGCUUGUUGGCGGGGUAACGGCCCACCAAGGCGACGAUCGGUAGCUGGUCUGAGAGGACGACCAGCCACACUGGGACUGAGACACGGCCCAGACUCCUACGGGAGGCAGCAGUGGGGAAUCUUGCGCAAUGCGCGAAAGCGUGACGCAGCAACGCCGCGUGGGGGAAGAAGGCCUUCGGGUUGUAAACCCCUUUCAGGAGGGACGAAGGCACGGCGGUGAACAGCCGUCCGUGCUGACGGUACCUCCACAAGAAGCCCCGGCUAACUACGUGCCAGCAGCCGCGGUAAUACGUAGGGGGCAAGCGUUGUCCGGAAUCAUUGGGCGUAAAGCGCGCGUAGGCGGCCCGGUAAGUCCGCUGUGAAAGUCCAGGGCUCAACCCUGGAAAGCCGGUGGAUACUGCCGGGCUAGAGUCCGGAAGAGGCGAGUGGAAUUCCUGGUGUAGCGGUGGAAUGCGCAGAUAUCAGGAGGAACACCUAUAGCGAAGGCAGCUCGCUGGGACGGUACUGACGCUGAGGCGCGAAAGCGUGGGGAGCGAACAGGAUUAGAUACCCUGGUAGUCCACGCCGUAAACGAUGGGCACUAGGUGU